CUCAGGGGGAACACAGGGAUUCGGCCACCUAGCGCGCAUGCGUACGGCGUGAGGACCGGAGAGGGGGGGCGCCACUACGCAUGCCCAUCAGUUAUAAUUACAAUGCCCUGUUUCUGGACACAGAGAUCUAUGUACAGACACAGAGAGAGACCUACGCACAGAGAGACCUCCGGACGGACAUGCACCUGUAGACAAGUGCAGGUUCACUGUAGCCACAGGUUCAUCAAUACCCUUGUGGGGAGAACUGAAAACGGAGUAACUGCACUGCCGCAUUGUUUCCUGGCUCCCAUGCAUUCUAGGCAGCUGUAAUUCCUACCCUUGGGGCUGGAAAACGCCUUCUGCUGAUCAAUAGCAUGCUCAGGCUUUGGUUGCAGCCCCCUGUGCAGCAAUUUCAAGCUGACCUCCAAGCCAUGCAGUAGUUUGAUUGUCACCCCCCACUGCUGGCAGAAUGGAAGCUGACAUACAACUGUGAACCCGUGUUAACCUCACUCUCUCCUGCACGCCUACAAGCCGCAGCUGGGGAAUUUUUUCUCAGGCACAGCGUAGUGGCACGGGACACAUACAGCAACAUCAGUUCUUUCUCAGCAGGCAACUCUGUGCUGACGUGGAUGCACCCUGGCAUCAUUAAUUAUACAGUAAUGCUACUGAGGUUUAAUUGUAUUUAAACUCACCAGCUCCACAGGAACUUGGCUGGCCAGCCACCUUCCCCCUUCAUCAUCUAGGAAGCAGACUCUCAGCCCUCUCCAGAGACCCUCUCAAACGGGUCUUUUGCGGCAUGCAGGGCUUAAUUUGUGCCAGGACUUGCCAGGGCUGAGCCCCGGCACCUCUGCGGUUGGCGCAUCAGUUAUGAAACUAAAAAAACGGCUUGAGCUCCAGCACAUCUUUCAUUAUAAAUUAGGCACUGGCGCCAUGGCCAGAAGUCAGACCAAGGGGGCAAACGGGGAACAAUUUUCAGAGUGCUGGAGCCCUCAGAGAGCACCUUGCUAGCCACCCCAGGUCAAGCACUCUUGCUGACCACAGCUGUGGCAGCAUGGCCUGGGGAGAGAGCAGCCUUCUUCACCCUCUUAUUUCAUGCAGAGAACCAGCUGCCGGUUUGAUUGCUGCUGAUCUCCGCUCAUGCAAUAGUGUCAGCUUCAGGAAUUAUUAUUAGUGGUGGGGUAGCAUCCAGAGGUCCCAGCUGAGAUCAGGACCCCAUUGUGGCAGAUGCUGUGCAGAUGCAGAGACAGUCCCUGUCCCAGACUUCUCCCAGCCUAGCCAGCAUGGACAAUGCGUGGGAGGGGAAACAGAAGAAAUGAUUUGCCCAGAAGCUCAGUGGCAGUGCAAGGACUAGCAGCUCCUGACUUCCAGGCCGAUGCCUGUUCCAUUAGACCCCAUUGCUUCUCAUUCUCAGUCGGGUGUUACUCUCUUUGUAAAGCUCCAUGCGCAUCUUC